rnacentral:rRNA from 1 species
GACUACGGCCAUACCACUCUGAACGCGCCCGAUCUCUACUGAUCUAGUAAGCUAAGCAGGGUCGGGCCUGGUUAGUACUUGGAUGGGAGAAGUGGAUCUUUUACACU